rnacentral:lncRNA from 1 species
GCCUCCCAAAGUGCUGGGAUUACCGGCUUGAGCCACCUCGCCCAGCAGUAUAGUCUUAAGACUUCACAAAUCAAAGCAAUUCCCAUGUAAGCCUCGUCAGGCCUGGGGGUUGUGAAGAGGAAGGUAACUGUUAUGCCUACAGUUUGCAGCCAACCCAUCAGUAAGCAGCGCCUGUCUGUGGGGAGCUCCUGGCAGUGCCUCCUCCUCCAUGCCCAGCAGGAAAGAGGCUGGGAAGGAUGCAUGGGCCACAUGCCUGGCUCUACUUGCAGUGCCCCCAGGAUAAAAGCCAGGAGGCCGGCCGGGCACGGUGGCUCACACCUGUAAUCCCAGCACUUUGGGAGGCCGAGGCGGGCAGAUCACGAGGUCAGGAGUUCGAGACCAGUCUGGCCAACAUAGUGAAACCCCGUCUCUACUAAAAAUACAAAAAAUAGGCCAGGUGUGGUGGUGUGCGCCUGUAAUCCCAGCUAGUUGGGAGGCUGAGGCAGGAGAAUCGCGUGAACCCAGGAGAAAGAGGUUGCAGUGAGCUGAGAUUGCGCCACUGCACUUCAGCCCGGGCGACAGUGAGAGACUCCGUCACCAAAAUAAAAUAAAAAAAAAUAAAAAGAUCCUCUAGCCCAAAUCCCUCCAACACAGAAGCAGUCGGAGAAGCUUGAAAAGGUUAGAUGAUAGGCCCAUGUAGCUUGUCUGUGGAAAGAGCUAGGCUGCAAGACACCUCUGACUCCGUUGAGUGCUUUCUCUUACUCUCCUUUCCCGAUUUAAGACAUUAAAUCAUUUAAGACAGUGUCAUUUGGUCGGGCGCGGUGGCUAACGCUUGAAAUCCCAGCACUUUGGGAGGCUGAGAUGGGCGGAUCACCUGAGGUCAGGAAUUCGAGACCAACGUGGCCAACAUGGCAAAACCUCGACUCCACCAAAAAAAAAAAAAAUUAGCCGGGCCUGGUAGCGCGUGCCUGUAAUCUCAGCUACUCAGGAGGCUGAGGCAGGGAGAACUGCUUGAACCCGGGUGGCAGAGGUUGCAGUGAGCCAAGAUCGCACCACUGCACUCCAGCCUGGGCGACAGAGCGAGACUCUGUCUCAAAAAAAAAAUUUUUUUUUAAAAGACAGUGUCAUUUGAUGGAGUUGCUUUCUUGAUCGUUGGCUGCAAUGAAAGACCUAGCCUCACUGUCUUUUGUGUUGCCUUGGACCGGCUCUUAGGUUCUACUGCCCUAACAGGCAGUGGAGGCUGGCCUCGAGUGGUAGUCAUCCAUCUUGCCCUCUUUUCCUACCCUCUACCCCCAACCCCCGAGCUGCUCUCCUGUCUCCUUCCAACACUGUUCUCUUUGGGAAUAUGCAUGUCCAACUUCCCAAGCAGUCUGGGAUCUGGAGUAAGAUGACUCUUGGUUUAAUGGAGUUUUUCCACAGUGCUUGCAUGUGCCCCAAGGGUUUGGAAGGUUGGAGAACUAACAAAAAGCAAAGCGCCAUCCUGUGUCGUUUCGGCAGGUCUGUGUUCUGUUAAAAUAUGGAAGAAUUAACAGAAGAACGAAGAAAUAAGGGCAGAAACUCCACAGGGGAGUACUUGUCUAACCCUGAAAAAGUUCAAGGCUGUUGUUCAAGGUCUGAAUUUUUCCCUUGAGAUUUGCUUGUAGUCCUUAAAGUCAUCUUCAGAUCUAUCUGAUCAAGGCAGCAUCCGCGGAAAAUUAUAAGGUGGGUGGCUGCACUGGAGCCUGUCCUGGCUCAGGGGAGCCGGUGAAGAGUGAUUUUUUUCCCUUGGCGUUGGGGGAUCAGAGGGGGUGCCCUCUGCUAUGCAGGAAGCCCUCCUUGCCCACUAGAUAGUUGUCAUUCCUCAGGAGAUACUCUGUGAGGGGCCGGUGUGUUUUCUCCAUCUUGGCACUUACCCUCAGACCCUCCUAAAUACCCGGGAGGGCCGUGUUUUUCAUCGGAGGUUGAAAUGGAACCUCCCCCUGGGUGCCCGGGGAGAGUACCUUGGGGGCAGCGCCCCUCCUUCCGGAGGGCAGCAUCCCGGCGGGGGCGGGGGCUCGGCUUUGAUGCCAGGGCACCUUUUGUCCCUGGAGACGCUCUGCCAGCCAGGUGCGUGGAGGGAGUGCAGCCCGCCCUCCGGGGCGACGCGCGGGGCUGGGGCGGGCCGGCGGCUCCGGGGAGUGGCGGUCGGGAGCCCGCGAACGCGGGUGGGCGCCGUCGCCUCACUAACCGGGCGCCUCCGGGAAAUCCGGGCGGGGUCCGCCGCUCGCACAUAGGAUUAGCGUCCUCUAAACUCCAUCCCUGGGAAAAGCCGCCGCACUUCUCACCCAAACUCGCGGAGCCGAGGGGUUGGGCAGGGGUUGGGCGGGCGCGGGGGCCGCCGAGGCGGAUCCGGGAACGGGUGGACCCGGGCGGCCAAGCCUCUUCAGCGCCGGCCCAACCGCCCCGGCCCGGGCCAGUCCAGCGGGGCGGGGGCUGGUGACACAAAGGCGGCGGCGGGUCCUCCGGGCCUCCGACCUCGGGCAGUCG